GACGAACGCUGGCGGCGUGCUUAACACAUGCAAGUCGAACGGAAAGGCCCUGCUUUUGUGGGGUGCUCGAGUGGCGAACGGGUGAGUAACACGUGAGUAACCUGCCCUUGACUUUGGUAUAACUUCAGGAAACUGGGGCUAAUACCGGAUAGGAGCUCCUGCUGCAUGGUGGGGGUUGGAAAGUUUCGGCGGUUGGGGAUGGACUCGCGGCUUAUCAGCUUGUUGGUGGGGUAGUGGCUUACCAAGGCUUUGACGGGUAGCCGGCCUGAGAGGGUGACCGGCAACAUUGGGCAGGAGAGAGGGCCGAGCCUCCAACGGGGGGAAGCGGGGGGAAAUAUGACACAGGGGGCGGGAGCGUGAUGCAGCACCGCCGGGGGGGGGAUGGCGGCCUUGGGGUUGAAAACCGUUUCCGCCUGUGACGAAGGGGGAGGGAGGGUAAUGGAAAAAGAAGCACCGGCUAACUACGGG
rnacentral:rRNA from 1 species